rnacentral:rRNA from 1 species
GACGAACGCUGGCGGCGUGCCUAAUGCAUGCAAGUCGCACGCACCACCUUCGGGUGGUGAGUGGCGCACGGCUGAGGAUCACGUGGGAACAUGCCUCCUUGUGGGGGACAACACCGCGAAAGCGGUGCUAAUCCCGCAUACGCUCGUGGAAGCGAGGAAAGCGGCAACGCGCAGGGAGAGUGGCCCGCGGCCCAUCAGGUCGUCGGUGGGGUAACGGCCUACCGAGCCAAUGACGGGUAGCUGGUCUGUGAGGACAGACAGCCAGACUGGGACUGAGACACGGCCCAGACUCCUACGGGAGGCAGCAGCAAGGAAUUUUCGUCAAUGGGCGCAAGCCUGAACGAGCAACGCCGCGUGGAGGAUGACGGCCU